AGUUUUCAAACGUGGUUUACCGCAGAAUAACCCGAGAUAGAUUUUGCUCUACAUGUAUCUAAGCCCCCAGCUUUUAUGGAACAACUUUCGAACACUUCGUCAGUCCAUCGGGAGGUGGCACUAUAACCUUUGAUAACGUCAAAACCAAUGUCGGUAAAUACUACAAGCCAAACCCUGGGAUUUUUGUUGUGCCCUUCAACGGCACCUACAGCUUUACUCUUAAUAUAGCUUCCUUUGACAACGUCGCACUUGCAAUCAUGGCCAACAAUGUAGUAGUUGGACAGGUAGACAACGAAGUUAAGUCAGCAAAUGCAGUUGUAGAACUGAAUAUGGGAGACACAGUGUUUAUCAGCGUACUCAUUUCUCCAGAAAACCCGGUACUAUCGCGUUGCACAUUUACGGGUGUCCAGUCACACGGUUCUAUUUGUGUCCGUACACAGUACUGUAAUGACUGUUGUACAUGCUAAAAACUAAUCUUUAGCGGAGGAAACGAAACGAAAGCUAAAACAUCUGACCUACAUUUUGAAAUUCAAUAAAUGCAAUAUUUGAACAAUU
rnacentral:lncRNA from 1 species